rnacentral:rRNA from 1 species
GAUGAACGCUGGCGGCGUGCCUAAUACAUGCAAGUCGAACGCUGGAAAUCUAGCUUGCUAGAUUGAAGGAGUGGCGAACGGGUGAGUAAUACAUAAGCAACCUACCCACGAAGACUGGGAUAAUCUCUGGAAACGGGGGCUAAUACCGGAUAGGUAAUCGGAAGGCAUCUUCUGAUUAUUAAAGGUUAAAAACACUGGUGGAUGGGCUUAUGGCGCAUUAGUUAGUUGGUGAGGUAACGGCCCACCAAGACGAUGAUGCGUAGCCGGCCUGAGAGGGUGAACGGCCACAUUGGGACUGAGACACGGCCCAGACUCCUACGGGAGGCAGCAGUAGGGAAUUUUCGGCAAUGGGGGAAACCCUGACCGAGCAACGCCGCGUGAGUGAUGACGGCCUUCGGGUUGUAAAGCUCUGUUGUAAGGGAAGAACGGUAGAUAGAGAAUAUCUAAAUGACGGUACCUUACCAGAAAGCCACGGCUAACUACGUG